GCUGGACUGAAGGAUCCAGGCUGGAGACUGGACACUCUCAGGACCUGUAAAGGUCCAGAAUGAGGGACAAACACAUCUCUACAGACCUUUCACAUCAUGGAGAUAAACUGUUCACAUUUCUUCCUUCAGGCAGACGAUACAGAGUGUUGUUAACAAAAAA